rnacentral:snoRNA from 1 species
AUACCAUGAUGAGGGCAACACCUAAGUAAGUCCUUGUAUCUCUCCCAAGCCUCGUACAACGACUCUGAAUCAAGCUAUGUGAAUGAUGUAAUAUCAUUUCUCAUUUU